GGCACGGCGCGGGGUGGGGCGCCGCGGUGCCUAUAAAAGGCCGGGGCCGCGCGUGUGGGGCGGCAAUGGCGGCGCUCGGGCCCGGCUGUGCUGGCGCCGGCGUCCGUGAGGAAGCGGCGCGGGAGCCGGGCCCGGGGUAGCCCGGAAGCCGCGGGGCCCGCCGGCAGCACACGGGCAGCGGAGGGGUCCGGCAGGCUCCCCUCAGGCCGUGUGUGAUGAAGGAGAGAGGGCGGGCGUCUGGCGGCGGUGCCUUGUUGUUGUGCCGUGCGCCUUGGUAACCCUGCCUGGGCUGGGAUUAGCCGUGCUGUGGGUGCCGGCUCGUUUCGGCUUCCUGACUGGUUGUUAACCAUUUUUUCCCUCUGGAUUUGUGAGUCCCUUAAUAAAAUGGAUGGCAUAACCCAAGCAGUGAGAAAGAGAUCAUCUCUUUGUGGGGUUUCUCAGGAAUCUGCUUCUAAUGCUGUGAAGCCCAUCUCAUGCAGCUAGAAUCUUCCCACUCUUGCAGAAAGACUCUUAAAUCUCUCCUUUUAUCUGGAUUCCAUGUCUCCUGAAAUCCAGCUUGAUGUUAGCUGACCUUCCUGGGUUGCCUUCUGGGUGAAUGUCUGUGGCUGGGAUGUUUUCUGUUGCUAUACCAACCUGGUUUCUGCACUAAAAAUAAAGACCUCAGGGUGGGGAAUGUGUGUUGUUUCCUAUAAGCUCACAUGACUGUUGCAACAUGUUUAUCUAACAUGUUAAUUCUAAUUCUUCCCUAACAAAAACUCUCUGGAAGCAUGAGU